GGGGGCGAACAGGUUUCGACGGGACUGCACCGGCGAACGUGGCGUGCCGAGGUACAGGAGGCCUCGUUAAACCCCUGUAAAAAACACGUGCCGACGAUCACGUCGAGUACGCUGUCGCUGCCUAAUUUACUUUAGGCUCGACGUGGAGCCCACCGGGUGCCGAUGCCCGGUGGUCGCUCCAUAAUAUUCAUCGGCUGGCCAGCAGCGCGGUCCCGACGUCUGCUGGCGAGACUUACCGGGCUGGUCUGCGAUCAGGGUUGUCUGUCACCUCGAUCGCGGACGAGACUCAAUGACAGACUGCGCAGGGAGCAGCGCCGCGCGUACCGGUCCGGACCCGGGUUCGAUUCCCGGCGCCUCCACCA
rnacentral:tmRNA from 1 species